rnacentral:rRNA from 1 species
GACGAACGCUGGCGGCGUGCUUAACACAUGCAAGUCGAACGGAAAGGCCCUGCUUUUGUGGGGUGCUCGAGUGGCGAACGGGUGAGUAACACGUGAGUAACCUGCCCUUGACUUGGGGAUAACUUCAGGAAACUGGGGCUAAUACCGGAUAGGAGCUCCUGCUGCAUGGUGGGGGUUGGAAAGUUUCGGCGGUUGGGGAUGGACUCGCGGCUUAUCAGCUUGUUGGUGGGGUAGUGGCUUACCAAGGCUUUGACGGGUAGCCGGCAUGAGAGGGUGACCGGCCACCUUGGGACUGCGAUACGGCCCAGACUCCUACGGGAGGCAGCAGUGGGGAAUAUUGCACAAUGGGCGGAAGCCUGAUGCAGCAACGCCGCGUGCGGGAUGACGGCCUUCGGGUUGUAAACCGCUUUCGCCUGUGACGAAGCGUGAGUGACGGUAAUGGGUAAAGAAGCACCGGCUAACUACGUG